rnacentral:tRNA from 1 species
UGGCGGCCCCGGUGGGAUUUGAACCCACGACCUACGGCUCCGAAGGCCGCCGCUCUUCCUGACUGAGCUACGGGGCC